rnacentral:tRNA from 2 species
UGCCCCAUGGCUGAGUUGGUUACAGCGUCCGACUGUUACAAGCACUCCCUGUGGUGAUCGGAAGGUCGUGAGUUCGAGCCUCACUGGGGCAG